GAUGAAUCUAGCUAUAUAUAUAAGUUGUAUGGUGUGAGUACUUAAUGGACAAAAUAACCAUUACCAGAGGAAACGAACUAAUAAGAUUAUUAAUUUCAAAGGAAAGGAGAUUAGCAUUACUAUGGCAAAUAAUGAUCAGGAAGCUGGAAGUGAUCUUAAUGAAACAGAGCAUUCUCAAAUCCAUCUUCGGUGUUCAAAGAGCGGAAAAACUCCAUGGCCUUGUAGGUACAACUUUUUGAACAACUAGUGAGUUUUGGGGACCACAAACUUUUGUCGUGUUGAUCCGGAUUUAUUAUGGUUGUCUAUUCUGCUUUUCUAAUCAAAAGAUAGGAGGACACUCCUUCUCCCGAAGUUAAGGGGUCUUUUUGUCGAGUUCUUUCGACAUGGUUCUCUGCGGUGUGCCUACUUAAAAAUCCAAAAUAAAAAAAAGUGUAAGAAAC